rnacentral:rRNA from 1 species
AUUGAACGCUGGCGGCAGGCCUAACACAUGCAAGUCGAACGCCCCGCAAGGGGAGUGGCAGACGGGUGAGUAACGCGUGGGAAUCUACCCAGUUCUACGGAACAACAGUUGGAAACGACUGCUAAUACCGUAUACGCCCUACGGGGGAAAGAUUUAUCGGAAUUGGAUGAGCCCGCGUUGGAUUAGCUAGUUGGUGGGGUAAUGGCCUACCAAGGCGACGAUCCAUAGCUGGUCUGAGAGGAUGAUCAGCCACACUGGGACUGAGACACGGCCCAGACUCCUACGGGAGGCAGCAGUGGGGAAUAUUGGACAAUGGGCGCAAGCCUGAUCCAGCCAUGCCGCGUGAGUGAUGAAGGCCUUAGGGUUGUAAAGCUCUUUCACCGAUGAAGAUAAUGACGGUAGUCGGAGAAGAAGCCCCGGCUAACUUCGUGCCAGCAGCCGCAGUAAUAC